rnacentral:rRNA from 1 species
GACGAACGCUGGCGGCGUGCCUAAUACAUGCAAGUCGAGCGAAGUUUUUCUGGUGCUUGCACCGUAAAAACUUAGCGGCGAACGGGUGAGUAACACGUAAAGAACCUGCCUCAUAGACUGGGACAACUAUUGGAAACGAUAGCUAAUACCGGAUAACAGCAUUAACUGCAUGGUUGAUGUUUAAAAGUUGGUUUUGCUAACACUAUGAGAUGGCUUUGCGGUGCAUUAGCUAGUUGGUGGGGUAAAGGCCUACCAAGGCGACGAUGCAUAGCCGACCUGAGAGGGUGAUCGGCCACACUGGGACUGAGACACGGCCCAGACUCCUACGGGAGGCAGCAGUAGGGAAUCUUCCGCAAUGGGCGAAAGCCUGACGGAGCAACGCCGCGUGAGUGAAGAAGGAUUUCGGUUCGUAAAGCUCUGUUGUUAGGGAAGAAUGAUUGUGUAGUAACUAUACACAGUAGAGACGGUACCUAACCAGAAAGCCACGGCUAACUACGUG